UCUAAGAGGCAGUGUUUUGAAAGAUGAGUGAGUGUGAAUGCUACAAGUAUUAGGCUGGGUCCUAACAAGAAGUCCUGGAACAGGAAGAUGGGGGAGCUGGAAGGGAAACUCUGGAAGUUGAGGUGGUGAAGGAAAACUGCUGGGGUAAAGAGAACCCUGGGCACUGACAGUCAAAAGCCAAAGGUUUAUGGGUGAUAGUGACUCUCUCUUCAGUAGGCCCCCAAAAAGGGCUUAGUGUAGAGUUGAAACCAAGCAAGUUCUAAGACAGGGAGAAACAAGGGGUUCUUGCUGUUGUGAGCCCAAGACAAGGUUGGCUUAAAGCACUGGGAGUUGAGGGGGACUAGAAGUACUUCAUGCUGAGACUUUGUUCAGUGGUCUAUGUUGGAAAAUCUUGGGUGAGGUGAGGACCUGCAGGAAGAGAGGCUGAUGAACCUGGAACUUUGGUAUUGUUUUAUGUGGACUUGGGACUAGAGUACCUGAAAGGGGUGUGGAACCAGAGGGCUGAGUUGCAAGAAGAGGUGACCCAGCCCUGGACAAGAGCAACUGGGCUAGGCAACACCAGGUGCCCCCUAGAGGGGAGACUACUUCCCUGCUACAGCUCUUACUCCUGUAAUGCAGUGUGCUGUGGUAAACAUGCAGGGAAAUCCCUUGUGAGCUCCCUGCUGGACAGCCUGAGAACUCUUGCAGUUAACAGAACAAGUAUGCAUCAGAAUGUGAAGACCAGGCACUAAAAUCAGAAUCUAGAGAACUGCAAUGAUUGCCAAUUUGGGUGGAACUCUUACAUGUACAUGGUAACAAGAUGACAUAUGGUGAUGUCUCAGGGACUUUCUCUCCACAGUUAGGACCAACUGCAACAAUUAUAAAAAUGAGGCACGAUGGAUCCUCAAGAGUGACACCCCUUGGCUCAGGGAACUGAACUUUCUAGGCAGGGACACUUUGUCUUUGGGAAAUCCUACCACUGAAGAUUAGUGGCAUCGAAUCCUGACACCUUCAGUAUGCAACGUAAGACCCAUCUCUUUGCCAGAGCUUUCCCGCAAUAGUAACCAACCCCAAAGAGUGCAUGGAAGGAAAGAAGCAAUAGAAAGAAAUAGGACUGAAAAGAUUGUUCUGCUCCCUCCUUCCUAACCUAAGCACAAGAAUGUGUUUGGGGUUUUUUUGUGUGUGUGGUGGCUUUCUAAAAUCUUUUAGAAAGGUAUUCAGUUAUUGCCAUAAUGAGCUUGCCAUAAACUCACAGACAGGAAGAGACAGAUGGGCAUGAAUGGGGCGCAACAUGAUUUUGCGUUUAAACUAGUGGACUUUUUUCUUCAAAGCAGGAUUUCAGAGACUGCAUGAGAGAGUUUAAAAAUUGACCCCACAGAAAGAGGACAUAUUCUGAUGGAACAUGGCAAAGAAAUUCUUUUCAAGGUUGGACUUGAAUACACAAACAACUGCCAUCCUGGUGCUCCUCUUCCUGCAGGAUCCAUAUGAUGUGAUCCCCUGCCAACAGACUUCUCUUUAUCCUAGCAAAGCUCUGCAGAAAAGCUUUCUCUUUGGACUGCUGAGCAGCAGCUCUUUCUCGUGCAUGCAUUUUUCUUUUAAUUAUAAUUUUGACUGUAUCUAUCUCAA